GAUGAACGCUAGCGGCAGGCUUAACUCAUUCUUUAGUUUGAGAGCGGUUAGUGGCGGACUGGUGAGUAACACGUAAGCAACCUGCCUAUUAGAGGGGAAUAACAGUGAGAAAUCAUUGCUAAUACCGCAUAUGCUAACAGUAUCGCAUGAUACAGUUAGGAAAGGAGUAAUCCGCUAAUAGAUGGGCUUGCGUCUGAUUAGAUAGUUGGUGGGGUAACGGCCUACCAAGUCGACGAUCAGUAGCCGGACUGAGAGGUUGAACGGCCACAUUGGGACUGAGAUACGGCCCAGACUCCUACGGGAGGCAGCAGUCGGGAAUAUUGCGCAAUGGAGGAAACUCUGACGCAGUGACGCCGCGUAUAGGAAGAAGGUUUUCGGAUUGUAAACUAUUGUCGUUAGGGAAGAUACAAGACAGUACCUAAGGAGGAAGCCCCGGCUAACUAUGUG
rnacentral:rRNA from 1 species